ACACCAAUUGCGCCGAGCUCCAUCCGUUGGUGUGCGGGGACAACGAGAUACAACCCGGAUGGAGGCGGGGGACCCACUGGUCCCACCGAGGACCUGGAACCGAAUUCGGUUCCUUGGGGUGAAGCCGACGUCGAUGACGACGACGGCCGGGCAACCUCUCCAGCCCGAACCCGACAGCUGACCUCGCACGCGCUUACGAGAGGACCC
rnacentral:sRNA from 2 species